UAAAACCUCCACAAAUUAUUUUACACUUUUGAUUUCCCUUUUACAUUUUUCAACAUUUCCCUCCAAGGAUUUUACACUCUUUGCCUACUCCAGUGUUUCCCAAAUUCCCAAACCCUUCAUUCAUUUUCCUUUUCGAUUGAACUCCAUCUCGUCAUCAAAUUAAGGUUCAGUUCUCGUCAUCAAUCGUUGGUGUUCAUUCAAAUCGUCUCCAUCAUCGGUCGUUGUCCUAUGCUCGUCGUCUUCGUCGCCCUGUGCUCGUCGGCGGUGGCCUUCAAGAUACGAAGUCUGUGAGUUGGAUUGCCAUCUCUUUUUCUUCCAAACAUUAUUUUUACAAAUUCACAGUGCUCGUCGUUCUUCACGGUAUUUGUUCAUCACCUCCUUUUUUUUAGCCUGCCAUGGAUCGUGACGAUGGCGUCGAAAGUAGCGGGUUGGCGUAGGGUGACCUCGAGGGCGUUGCUGCUGUCGUGAGUGAUGAUGAUGGGGGGUUUGGGCUUGUUCUUGGAUUUUGUUUAGAUCCCUUUGGUGGUCUAUGGUCAGAUGGUAUCCAAGAGUUGGUUGUCUUCUUAUGGUAUUUUAAAUCCCUUUGGUGUAGCAUUCUUCAAAAUGAACCAAAAGUGAUUGACCCUUGUUUACACUUAUACGUUGUUUGGAAAUUGUUAUGAUGCUAGCUAUCUUACUAGUUUAUGAACACACAUUACUAAUUGAGUUUAUUUGAACAAUGCAUCGUGGAGGAGGUUCAUGGCCCAACUCAAGCUAGAUCCAGGAAACGUUGCUUUAUACCUGGGUGUUGCAGAAAGAUGUCGACAAACACCUUGAAAGUGGAUCAAGAAGUAGUGAGAAGUUGAAGUCAAUUGGCAAUAUAUGAGAUGGAAAACAUUCGAAGACUAGCACAUUUUAGAGAGUUCAAAGACUAUAAUAAGAUUUGUCUCUUAAAUAUUCUUUUUCAACAUUAAGUAUUUUUUAUAUUUAUAUUGUAAUUUCUAAUGAAUGUACUUUAUCUUAAAUGAUCAAUAAAAUUAAUUUUGAUUCA